rnacentral:lncRNA from 1 species
CAGUCAAAAAACAAUCCUUUGAAUGCAGUUGCACAAGAAUUUAGUUUGUUAGACAUACAAUUGACUAAAAUUUAAGUUCCAAUAGUCAUUGUUCAAAAAAAACUCUUUAAACUAUCAAUAAAUUAAGUUGCUUCUAAAAGAGAUUCAGGUGGAAACCAAAUCCUUUGCUUAAAUCUUUACAUAUAUGAUUUCUGAAAGACUCCAGCAUCAAGCUUGCAGUUUUAUUUUGGAGAAAGAAGUUCUUGAAUCCACAUUGAACUAAUUUUUUUUCAAGUCACACGGGAAGAUGCAAAACAGUAACUGCAAGCCACAGUUUCAAAUGAAAUAUUCUAUCUAUAAAUUUAUGUUUUGUAAAAAAACAUUAGCAUGGAGGAGGCAAGGCAAAAAACAAAAGUUAGAACAUUACUCACCUUUGCAGCCUCCUAUAUGCAGAAUUUGAAGUUUGUAAGCUAAAAAAUUGGUGCAUUCUGCCAUUUUUAUUUCCACAACGUCAAAUCUAGAGAUACUGUAGCAAAGUGACAGGACAAUAUUGUUACCAAAUGAAGUAUCACACGCAUACAUCAAAUGUAGCUUAACACAUUUCAAUACUAAAAUGUAUAUGCAUGAAUCAGUUAUGGAAAAUUCUUCAAAACAAACCUCAAAUGAUUGAGAUGAAUAGCUACUGCACACAUUAUUCAUCUACCUGAAUUACACGACAGCCAUAUAGAUGGGUGGAGAGAUUUACAACUUGAUUAAAAAAGUAGAGACAAUAAAUUGUAUGUGUUCUUCUAGUACACAUUUUAUACACUUAUGGAUGACAUGAUUCCCAUUCUGAUCUCGUACACAGCGCAUGACAUGACCAUCUCCUCAACCAUUUUAAUCUACUGGUCCACAUCGACUACUUCUAUCGCCUGCAAGUGAACCAAAAUUUUAUUUUAGCAAAGGUUUGAACUCACAAAGGUCAGAUACCUGGAAAGCAGCCCUAUAAUCAGCCAACUUGUACCUAAGAAGCCAUAUAUCACACAUCAGUCACUGGCAGAGAAAAUAUAAUCUCCAGUAACUAUAUAACAUUGUUGCUUAGAUUGUUAAACUUCUUUUGAACAUUCGAGAGUCCAAUCCAGGUAGAGCCAUUGCAGACGCAUCAGCAGCAUUUUCAAACAAAGGAGGCAGAUUAUAGUUGCCAUGGUGGCCUGUUAAUGGAUUGACGGAAUGACUACCUAAACCAUAAUUGGAAGGACUAUCCAUAUGCGGAUAUUGAGAAAGCACACCACCUCCACCAUUUAAUGUGGAUGUUUAAGAUCCUUUGACCUAUGAAUUAUUAGAGGCAAAGGCAUAUUUGUGCAGACCCUCUUGGAGGUUCGAAUGAACUGUUAAGGUCUGACCAUGCACUAUUUUCGGUAGCAAUGUCAGCAUAUGGUCCUUUUGCAGAGUGAGAUUUAGAAGAUAUACUAAACUGUGCAGAUUUUGAUCUUUUCAGAUAUGCAUGCUGCUUAGCACUAUUCUGACUACCUGUAAAAAUGUAAGAAUAUUAUUUGGUGACAAACAUCGUAUAAGAUUAUUAUUUGGUGACAAGCAUCGUGUCCAGUCUGAGAGAGAUCUAUAUCUAACAUACCAUUAAAAAGACUCAUGCUAGAUAAAGCAGCAAGCAGAUCCACAAACUCUGUGGUGUGAGGGACACCUCUUACACUUUAGAGCCUUACAUGAGAUUCCAACAGUCAAAAAACAAUCCUUUGAAUGCAGUUGCACAAGAAUUUAGUUUGUUAGACAUACAAUUGACUAAAAUUUAAGUUCCAAUAGUCAUUGUUCAAAAAAAACUCUUUAAACUAUCAAUAAAUUAAGUUGCUUCUAAAAGAGAUUCAGGUGGAAACCAAAUCCUUUGCUUAAAUCUUUACAUAUAUGAUUUCUGAAAGACUCCAGCAUCAAGCUUGCAGUUUUAUUUUGGAGAAAGAAGUUCUUGAAUCCACAUUGAACUAAUUUUUUUUCAAGUCACACGGGAAGAUGCAAAACAGUAACUGCAAGCCACAGUUUCAAAUGAAAUAUUCUAUCUAUAAAUUUAUGUUUUGUAAAAAAACAUUAGCAUGGAGGAGGCAAGGCAAAAAACAAAAGUUAGAACAUU